rnacentral:rRNA from 1 species
UACCAGCACCCCGAGUGGUCGGGACGAUUAUUGGGCCUAAAGCAUCCGUAGCCGGUUCUACAAGUCUUCCGUUAAAUCCACCUGCUUAACAGAUGGGCUGCGGAGGAUACUAUGGAGCUAGGAGGCGGGAGAGGCAAGCGGUACUUAGUGGGUAGGGGUAAAAUCCGUUGAUCCAUUGAAGACCACCAGUGGCGAAGGCGGCUUGCCAGAACGCACUCGACGGUGAGGGAUGAAAGCUGGGGAGCAAACCGG